AAAGAAUUUCUUCAGGAAUUUCGCAAUCAUGGAUUUAAUUCUGCUAAAACAGAUGCUAGGGAGAUAGCAGAGAAGCUUGAAGAUAGAUGAGCUGGGCAGUGGUGCGUCAGAGAAAAAAAAAAACUAAACAGUUUAAGUAUGAGGGAGCAGAGCAGACUCAGUUAACUGCAGAAGAGCUCUUCAAAAGAGAGUUUUUUUUCUGCCUCUAAUAGAUACUGCUCUUGUCACAAUAGAGGACAGAUUUUCCAACAUGGAAAUCUUCUACAAGCUUUAUGGAUUUCUCUACUCUAUUGAAAUAAUGAGAAGCACUAAGAAUGAAGGGAAGCUGCAUUGAUGUAGAAGACCUGAAGCUUGAGUAACACAAGAUAGAAGACCAUAACCAACUUUUCCAAGGGAGAGCAAGAGAAAAUCAGAGGGAAAAAAAGUAACACAAGAUAGAAGACCAUAAACAACUUUUCCAAUUUAGGCAGCAGCAAGCAGAUCCAGUUAGGAGAUUCUAUCAGAGAACCUGCUGGGAAAUCAAUGUAAAUGACAACCAAUGACAGCUCUUCCAUGUAAAUAGACAAUAAAUAUUAUUGCACAGCUCGAACUCCAGAUGAUCAGACAUCAUUGCUUUAUGAAGACUGCUGAAGAAAAAUUACAAAAUAAUAAUUUCUUCAUCGCUGGAGCUGCUUGUCAGCAGACAGACAAGGGACUCUGAGCUAAGUGGUACAAAUAACAGCAGGUUUAUUAAACAACGAUUGAGACAACACAGGCGAGAGGACAGUCCAGAGGAUCCGGAGGGAGCUGAGGAGCGUGGAGACAGUGGAGAACAUCAACUGGGGAGAACUAGGACGUAUCACAGGAACAACAGGUUGGUCUGUAGACCUUUCUUGUAGAAGGGGUUUGCUCUUCUGCUGGUGUCUGUGCACAGUGAGGUGGUGAAGUGAGUGGAGGAGGAGCAGCUGUGCCGCUACUUGGGAUAAAAGGCGGUGUUGAUAUAACAGGAGCUGGUGGAGAGAUAACAGGAGCUGGUGGUUCGGUUAA